rnacentral:lncRNA from 1 species
CUAGGCGCACAUCCGCUUGCCACCCACACUAUCACUUCCCAGUGAUCCUCCCGCAGGCUGCGCACUAGAGAACGCGUUGGCUGUUUGUGGCACGGCAAGGCCACCGUACGGCACCAAACAUACGGCAUUCCAGCAAGCGGAACCCGAAAGCCUGACAAUAGGUGUGAUGGGUGACCCUACACCUGCCCUGCCGCACCGAACCGCUGCCAGGAGUUGGCCGGCGUCACUCGACCCUCCGCGGGUUUAAAGAGGCGGUGCGGCGGCGUCUCCCUCACGUGACCGGGCACGGCAGCAUAGAGCGCGUCACGCUCCGCCCUGAGCUCGGGUCGGUCAAGGUCUGCGCCUGCGCCGGCUCGGUGGCUCGCGGGCUCGCGAGCUCGCCAACCUGCAGGCGGGCUGCUACCGGGCGUGGAGCCGGGCGCCCGCGGCAAUGGGUGAGUGCAGGAAGCGGCCGAGAGGAGACCGCAGGGCUCCCCCGGCCUCCGCGUGGAGUGAGUGGAAGCACGAAGGAGGGUCUGAGGAGGCCGCCUGCACGGCCCUCUGGCGCGGUCGUUGAGGACUCACCCCCCAACCUCCGCGCGCGCGCAGUGCGCCCCUCCGGUGCGCCCCGCCGUUCCCGCGCGCGCCAUCCCGGAUGGAACCUGCAGUCGCAGGGCCCAGCUCUUGCCUCCCAGCUCUGCCGCCCGCUGCCGGGCUUCGCUGGGCCGGGAGCGCCGUGCGACUGCCGGAACGAGCCUUUCCGGCGGAGGAGGCAGUGCGUUCAUUUGGGCGCGUCCCGGGAAGGAAAGUGCCUCCCGGCGCGCAUCGAGAGCGGGCGGGGCGGGGAGGGGCCGGGCUUUGCCCGCGGCCCGGGAGAGCGGCGUUGGGACCGCGGAAGGGCGCCUACCCCCUCAGGGUCUGGGAUUCCGGGACCCCUGGCUCCGUUGAAUGUCGGGACGGAAGGGGCCUGGUCGACCCCAUCCGCCACCCUCCCCCCGCCCCUUAGCACAGACCGGGGAAAUGGACGCCUGGAGAGCGGUUAAAAAAAUCCUUCCCGA